rnacentral:lncRNA from 10 species
UAAUGAGGAAUCAAAGGAAGAAGAAGAAAGAGAGAGGAAGGAAGGUUGGAAGGAAGGAAGGAGGGAAAAUUAGAAGGGGAAACCAUGAUUGCUGGUGAGGUUUUGAGCACAUUUUCCUGCAGGCUGGUAUGGGUGAGAGGUUUGGUCUUGUUUGCAAAUCUUCUGAAGGCCAUUCCAGAGGAGCAGUUGCCACUGCCCCAUCCCCUGAGCUCUGAGCGUGGGGGUUCCCCUGGGGAGACUCCUGGUGAGAGGAUGCCGAUUUCUGCUGAUCUGUCACUGGGUACCGAGGACUGGGUGUGUUUAAGGCAGACAGCCAGGUGAGGAUCCCAGCUACUGGGGCCUGCUGUCAUCUCCUGGGAGUACCCGGGGGUCAGGAGCCUAGGGGACUCUUGCACUUCACAUCCAGCCAUGCUAAUUACACUUUUUGGCAAAGGAAACAGCUAGGAGCAGUUUCUUUCACUCCUACAGCCCCGUUUUCUCAGUGUUUAGACCUCGAAUUAUUACUGGGCUAGAGGGAAGGCAGCCUCUGAAGUGUGGCAGGAGGAGGGGAAGUCUGCCUGCAUCUUGGUGUGUCUGUCAGAUGCCAGCACUAAUAACCUGGCUUCUGUGAGGCCUGUCAGUGCUCUCAGGAAUGAAAGGGGACCCCUGAGAGGUGCUCAGUACCAGCAGGCUGUGAAUGCUCUCUACCCACCACCCUCACCUCCUCGUUAAAGAUGGUGCUACCUGCCACACAGCAGACAUCUGGUCGCUGCACACCCGAAAGACCCCAAGGCAGUCUGCCCCUUGUCCAGCCACACGCCAGCACCCACCCUCCUGGCCCCUGCCUCGGCCUCCCCAGACCAGCUGCACCCAGCCCCCAACACGCACCCCUUCUCCAGAUGUGUGCAGGGCCUCAUUUUGCAGAGCAAAGACAGAUGUUUCAGCCACACGCUUUAUUAACUUCUAAAACCUGUGCUCAGGACACUCUUCAACAGUCAUGAAAAGUUUGAUCACUUGCCACAGUCAGGACCUUUGUGUGGGGCUCUGAUCUGAUGUUCGGUCUCAUCAUCUCCCAAACCAGCAGUCGUUUGUACCCCAACCCUCUGCUCAGGGGCUCAUACCCCCAAAUGAUUUUCCUGAUUUAUGUAUUUCCCUACAAAGGGCUUUCUAUACCUAGCAUCUGCCUCCAGCAUGAGAAGGGGGAAUAGGUGAGACCCAUUUGCCAGUAGCAGACGGGGACCCUGGGGAGAAAAUGGCAGAGCCUGUUGGAGACUCCCUGUCUCCAGCUGACCAGCCAAUGGGAUUCCUCUUCCCUCCACUGUCUCCCACAAAGUAGAAGAAUCCUGGUACAUUUAGCCCAUGAGCCUGGCACAGAUCCCUAUCUAGACAUGAGGCCCUUUAGACAUGACUUUGGCAUUGACCAGCCUGUUGGCAAUGGGUCGGGGAGGCAGAGGGGAUGCUCACACCAGUAAUUCUCAUCCCCUGAAUGCUUGGGAUCACCUGGGGAGAGUUCACAAAAUACUGGUGCAGGGGUCCCACCUCUGAUGAUGCUGAGUGGUGGGUCUGGGGUGUGGCCCAGGCAUCAUGAUGUUUCAGGCCCCCAGGUGACUUCUUAGGCAGCCCAGCUAAGCCCCUAGAGCCUUGCAAUUUCCCCCAAAUGACCUCAGAGGGCCCGAUUUGAGGGAAAUGCCUAACUUCAGGGGCCGUAAGAAUCCCCCAGGGAGCAUGUGAAAUGCAGAUACCAGGCCCACCCCCAGAGAUGAGCUGAGGUGGGUCAGGGGUGAAGUGCAGGGAUCAGUGUUUUUCACAAGCUCCAUACCUCCAGGAAAUGGUGUUGUGGUUGGGCCCGUAGAAAACAUUCUGAGAGUCCUGUUGCCUGUGCCUUGGUGCACGUGGGGUGGAAUCCCAGUGGCCCUGCCUUGAGGAGGAUGUGCAUUAACGUGGUAGGGGAGACAGAGACAGCUCCACCUGCCCCCUGCCCCACCGGGGACCUCCAAAAACUUCAUGGAUGUUAGAGCAAGCAGCCAUGCUGCAGCAGAGGAUGAGGCUGGCGGAUUUAGUAAGAGCCCUCUGUGUUUGGGCUGAGUUCUUUCUCUAGUUGCCCUGUCAUCUGGCCUCUGGAUAACCCACCUCUCCUCCCUCAUCCUAAAAUUACAGAUGGCGAAAGAUGGCCACAUUUAGUGAGACCCCUAAGGUCCUCCAACUAGGGUGGGUCCACAGUGGCCCCUGGUGCAUGGACCACACACUCUCUUCCCUCCUCUGGCUCAGGACUACGGUCUGAAAUUAGGGAGAUAUGAAUGUCUUUCUUGAAAACUUCUCUUCCCAGUCUUCCCACUUUGCUUGGGGGUCCUUGGUCAAGGCCAGCUUUGGGGACUAGGGCUUGUUGCGACUACCAGCUGUCUCAUUUUGCUGUACUGCAAACUCAGGCUUGGUUCCAAGCUUAUGGGGGCCCUGUCCUUCCCCUAGUAGGGUUUGUUUUGGGGUCACAUCUGGUCAUACCCUUCAGAGAGCUCUUCCCCAGCCUCUACAUCAGGGAGAGAGGUAGGUAGGGAGGAGCAUUCAAGGAUUAGAAGAAGGACUAAAGUACAACAGCCUUGGAGGAACUGCCAGGAACUAAGGGCGAGCACUGGAGAAGGCAACCUGGGACCCCCUGCGCUUCUGAGCAGGAAGACCAAGACCUUCAGGGGCCCUAAGCACUGAAAACAUCAUUCCUCAUCCCCAAGCCCUGGCAUCCCCCUGUUCUUCUAAAAUAAUUCUUUUCUAGGUAUUUCUGAUUGCAAAAUUCUGGAUGGGUUCAUCCAAGCUGACCUUUGCUGUUUUUUCCCUUCCCAACAAGGCCUCACUUUUUGGAGCCACCUUAGCUGGUGCCUAGGCAGAGGGGCAGUCAGCAGUGGUUAUCAGGAUCCUGGCUCUAUGGGUUGCCUUCCUCCUGGUCUGUAAAGCCCCUGCAGGCAGGGACUUCUUAGAUAGCUGCUUCCUUAGGGCAUGGCAUGUAGUGGGUGGUUAAUGAAUGGAAGAGAGGGAAUGAGUGAUCAAGGGAGGGAGGAGGGAGUGGAGUGGAGAUUUCUCAUCCUUUCCUGUUAAUUUAUGACAUCCUCCUGCCUAUGAGUCCUUGACUCUGGAGUUUUACAAAGCAGUCACAUUUCAAAUAAAAGUCUGGGAAAGCAAC